UAGUGUCAUAAUACACCAUGAGGUGGUUGGGUCCCAUUUCCAGAACAACCAGAGUGACGUCUGAACAAUGCUCUCUAAACAAGAUCUUCAUGUCUGCUCCCAAAGAGGGUUGCUACAUUCUUAGCUUCCCUCAAUUUAAUUCUUUUAUGAUAAAAAGAAGGGUGAACAGAAAAUGUUCAGAGCAAUCAUCCUCUGAAAAUUCAUAUAAAUGACAGCAGAAAUACAAGAAGGAGAUUGGAUUUCAAUCCUCUUGGAAACAAUUGAUUUGGAAGUGGUCUGUGGUCUAAAGAUUUUGACAAAAUUUUAGGAGCAAGUAAAGAUGAUAUAAAUAUAUAAAGAGACAGAACAGAAGGGAGAUAGCCACAUUUCAGAAAACAUGGAGAAAUUAUACAAGUGAUUCUUCCCAGGAAAUUCUUCAGAAAUGUCCAAAGAAAAAAUUAUGGACUUACAAAUCUGACUGUGCGAUGACUGCAAAAUCCUCCUUUAUCUUCCUCUCCCUGACAUGCAUGCAAACACACACACACACACACACACACACACACACACCCUGAGAUUUGCAUCAUUUGUCUUUAGGCUAAAAUAAGGGAAAACAUUUCAAAAUGAUUUACCGAUUUUUUUAAAUGAUGGGCACAGUAACCAUAAUUAAGUCUUCCGUAUUUGGCAUUGGAAUGAAGGUAACGGGAUCAAACCCUUCUAUUUACUUCUCCUUACUCAUCCAAAGAUGCAGUCAACCA
rnacentral:lncRNA from 10 species